rnacentral:rRNA from 1 species
CCUACGGGAGGCAGCAGUGGGGGAUAUUGGACAAUGGGGGGAACCCUGAUCCAGCGACGCCGCGUGGGUGAAGAAGUAUCUCGGUAUGUAAAGCUCUAUCAGCAGGGAAGAAGAAAUGACGUUACCUGAGUAAGAAGCCCCGGCUAACUACGUGCAAGCAGCGGCGGUAAUAGGUAGGGGGCAAGCGUAAUCCGGAUUUACUGGGGGUAAAGGGAGCGUAGACGGUGAUGAAAGUAUGGAGUGAAAGGCGGGGGCCCAACCCCCGGACUGCUCUGGAAACUAUGUGACUGGAGUGCAGGAGAGGCGGGCGGAAUUACUAGUGUAGCGGUGAAAUGCGUAGAUAUUAGGAGGAACACCAGUGGCGAAGGCGGCUCACUGGACUGUAACUGACGUUGAGACUCGAAAGCGUGGGGAGCAAACAGGAUUAGAUACCCUAGUAGUC